CCCCGCCCACGGCGGAGCCCCCACCGGCACGGCUGAGGGCCGUGCCCGGAGAUCUCCGGGCCGGCCCUCAGCCGUUCAGAGCGGGCGACGGGAA
rnacentral:tRNA from 1 species